rnacentral:rRNA from 1 species
AUUGAACGCUGGCGGCAGGCCUAACACAUGCAAGUCGAGCGGAUGAGAGGAGCUUGCUCCUCGAUUCAGCGGCGGACGGGUGAGUAAUGCCUAGGAAUCUGCCUAGUAGUGGGGGACAACGUUUCGAAAGGAACGCUAAUACCGCAUACGUCCUACGGGAGAAAGUGGGGGAUCUUCGGACCUCACGCUAUUAGAUGAGCCUAGGUCGGAUUAGCUAGUUGGUAGGGUAACGGCCUACCAAGGCGACGAUCCGUAACUGGUCUGAGAGGAUGAUCAGUCACACUGGAACUGAGACACGGUCCAGACUCCUACGGGAGGCAGCAGUGGGGAAUAUUGGACAAUGGGCGAAAGCCUGAUCCAGCCAUGCCGCGUGUGUGAAGAAGGCCCUCGGGUCGUAAAGCACUUUAAGUUGGGAGGAAGGGCUUACAGCGAAUACCUGUGAGUUUUGACGUUACCGACAGAAUAAGCACCGGCUAACUUCGUGCCAGCCGCCGUAACAC